UAGAAGUUUAUUAAAGGACAGCAGAAAAGACUUCUCCCGGAGGAAGAAGGGGACCCAAGAGGUGGAAUCCGUGGAAGUGCGGUUGUUUCCCCUUUUUAUAGUUUUGGUGAUGGAAUGUAGGUUGGAAGGCCCGAGGGGUGGGACACAGGUGGGCCAAAGAAGUAAUCUGGGCAGGAAGGACUUCAUUAACACUUCUUUGGGAUGGACUUUGGCCUAGGGCCUUUUCAGGACUUCAUUAACAUUCCAUGAGUUGUCCUGCGUUUCCUGGAAUCAUUCUCAGCAUGGCCUCCAUUUUAGAUUUCACUCGGUAUUAGACCCGAUUUAUCUAACUACACUGACUACCUAACUUUAAAUCUGGCUUCACUAUGAGCCUUCAGGGAGAAUGUCACAUCCAAACCAUCACCUGAUGUCGUGCACUUCCCAUGGGAUGCACUCACUGAGACAACACAGCCUGCCACUGUGGCAUUCUCACCAACAGCAUGCCACCAGGUAUCAUCCUGAGGAGAUAUCCGACAUAUAGGAGCAUUGUAAGGCUGUCAAGGCCAUUAAGGACAAGUCAAGUCAGGAAGGUUCCAAACAUGGACAGUGUGGACUGGCUUGGAUCCUGGGCCCACAGAGAACACUGCUGGGAUGAUCCGUGCAGGGCAGAUGGAGACUUGGUCCGAGAGAAGCACUGUGUCCACCUCGCAUCCAGGUGUUGCUGGCAGUGCUGUGGUCAUUUAGGAGAGUGACCUAGUUUUAAACUACUUAAGUGUUUAGGAGUAAUGGGACCUCAUGUCUGAAACCCACUCUCAAAUAGCUCAGAAAAUAAAAUGCAGAUAGAGGAACUGGGAAGACCCGUGGUAGCACACAACUGGGGGCUCAAGGUACAGACCACUUGGAUGUCUAUUGUAGCUGCCUACUAGUUUGAAAUCAUUUCAAAAUUAAAAGUUUGUUUCAAAAGCAUCAAGUUUACGAUGUAAAUCUUUGGAAGAUACAAGGAGAAAUUGAAAUAAAGCAGAAGUCUUAAGUCCACCUUUUAUCCUUGUGAUGUCAAAUUGUAAUAGAGUAAAUAAGGAUGUGGUGAUCCUGAAUAGCAUAGUUGAUAAAUGGUCCUAACUGUCAUGUACCAGGUUGUGUCCUGAAGAGAGUACGCCUUCUUCUCUGUGUCCACAGAAACAUCGAACAUUUAUUUGAUCGUAUUCAUCAGUGUACAAAGAGAAACUCCAUGGAAUGGAUCUGGCUGUUUAUGCCCAUGAGCAGAUGCAGUUGGAAUACACAGCUUUAAGCAUCUGCUCUACCAACCGGUUGGGGUAGGGGUACUUGAUUUUUUGAGUUGCAGAGCUUGUUGUUUGGUUUUUGUUUUACUUUUAAAUUAGUUUGUCUGAAAUAACGUGAAAAUUGAUAGUCACGUGCUUAACCAAAAGUCAUUUUAUUUCAAGCAGCUCUUUAGACUUCAAGUGUCAGAUUGUUCUCAGAAAAUUUCACAUUCAUAUCAUUGUCACUGGUUUUCAUUUUCCUUUGUGUCCAUGUUUCUUUUGGGGGGCACUCGACCCCUG
rnacentral:lncRNA from 1 species